GACGAACGCUGGCGGCGUGCUUAACACAUGCAAGUCGAACGGAAAGGCCCCUUUGGGGGUCCUCGAGUAGCGAACGGGUGAGUAACACGUGAGUAACCUGCCCUUGACUUCGGGAUAACUUCAGGAAACUGGGGCUAAUACCGGAUAGGAAUCCUUGCUGCAUGGUGGGGGUUGGAAAGCUUCGGCGGUUUUGUAUGGACUCGCGGCUUAUCAGCUUGUUGGUGGGGUAGUGGCUUACCAAGGCUUUGACGGGUAGCCGGCCUGAGAGGGCGACCGGCCACAUUGGGACUGAGAUACGGCCCGGACUCCUCCGGGAGGCAGCAGAGGGGAAGAUUGCACAAUGGGCGGAAGCCUGAUGCAGCAACGCCGCGUGCGGGAUGACGGCCUUCGGGUUGUAAACCGCUUUCAGCAGGGGCGAAGCUUGUGGUGACGGUACCUGCAGAAGAAGCACCGGCUAACUACGUG
rnacentral:rRNA from 1 species